UACGUAGGGUGCAAGCGUUAUCCGGAAUUAUUGGGCGUAAAGAGCUCGUAGGCGGUUUGUCGCGUCUGCUGUGAAAACUGGAGGCUCAACCUCCAGCCUGCAGUGGGUACGGGCAAACUAGAGUGCGGGUAGGGGAGAUUGGAAUUCCUGGUGUAGCGGUGGAAUGCGCAGAUAUCAGGAGGAACACCGAUGGCGAAGGCAGAUCUCUGGGCCGUAACUGACGCUGAGGAGCGAAAGCGUGGAGCAACAGGAUAGAUACCAGUAG
rnacentral:rRNA from 1 species